rnacentral:tRNA from 1 species
GAGAUUAUAGUUAAAUAUAACAUUUAAUUUGCAAUUAAAAAUUGUCAAUUUAGACUAGUCUCA